AACUUCAACAACGAUCUCUGGUCUGCACGAUGAAGAACCAGCAAAAUGCGAUAAGUAAUGAAUGCAGAAUCAUGAAUCAUCGAAUCUUGAACGCACAUUGCCCCCAGUAUCUGCGCAUGCUGUCGAGCGUCAUUCAACCCAAGCCAGCUGGUUGGACUGCAUCCCUGCACUCCCAAAUACAUGCGGUCACGUCGACUCCAUAGCUAGUAAUACAUACGUACGAAUCGCGCGCCACCGUAAACCCAACUCUGAAUGACCUCGAUCAGUAGAAACCGCUGAACUAACAACAAUAACGAGAAAAAAACAACAGGAUGCCCAUAACGCGAGAGCGCAACAGCUCAAUGAAAUCUGCUUCGGCCCGAUGUAAUUGUAGAGAUUUGAUGCGUGCUUCCGAUCCUGAACGACCCAAAGGUGAGAGCCCCGCGUGAUCCAAAUCGAAAUCCUCGACGAUCAUAUUGGAAGCUCAAAUAGAAUCCUAAGCAAAUACCGCCAGAACCGAUAGCGCACAAGUAAGAUCGAAAGAUGAAAAGCACUUGAAAAAAGUUAAAAGUACGAAAUGUGAAAGGAAGCGUUAUGACCAACUGGCUGUUAACAUCUGGUCCUCCAGUGCACUUUCCAGCCCAGCCACACAUUCGCCGGGAUAAAGACUCGGAAUGUGCUCCCCGGGAGUAUAGCCCGUUGUAAUACCGUGGGACGAGUCGCGCUUCUGCAAGAGCGGCUAAUGGCACAACGACCCGUCUGAAACACGACCAAGAUCGUCUCGUACGAGUCGGGUGCAAACCCACGCGAAGAAAGUGAACGCAGUGAAGCUCGCGCAUCACGACCGACCUGAUGUUCCGGGAUUGAGUAAGCAACGCCGACCGAAAGAAGUGAACUACCUGUGAGGGAAGCCAGAGAAACUGGGAGCUCGCAGCGGUCGACUCAAACGAUCGCAAACAUGGCAGGGCGAAGACUAAUCGAACCUCUAGAGCUGUUCCGCCGAAUUCCCUCAGAUAGCAUGUUGAACUCAGUUUAUGAGGUAAAGCGAAUGAUUAGGACUCGGGCGCUAUUUAGCCUCAUCCAUUCUCAAACUUUAAAUAUGUAAGAAGCUCUGUUGCUUAAUUGAACGUGAGCAUUCGAAGUAUCAACACUAGUGGCCAUUUGGUAAGCAAACUGGCGAUGCGGAUGAACCGAACGCGAGGUUAAGGCCAAGUAGACGCUCAUCAGACACCAACAAAAGGUGUAGUAAUCUGACAGCAGACGGUGGCCAUGGAAGUCGGAAUCCGCUAAGGACUGUGUAACAACUCACCUGCCGAAUGUACUAGCCCUGAAAAUGGAUGCGCUCAAGCGCUCACCCAUACCUCGCCCUCAGGUAAAACGAAGCCCUGAGAGUAGGCGGACGUGGAGGUCAUGACGAAGCCUAGGCGUGAGCCCGGUUGAACGGCCUCUAGUGCAGAUCUUGGUGUAGUAGCAAAUACUCAAUGAGAACUUGAAGACCGAAGUGGAAAGGUCCAUGUGAACAGCGUUGGACAUGGUUAGUCGAUCCUAAGCUAUAGGAAGUUCCGUUUCAAAGCGCACUUGCGCCGUCUAGCGAAAGGGACCGGUCAAUAUCCGCACCUGAUGUGGUUUGCGCGGCAACGCAACUGAACGUGGAGACGACGGCGGGCCCCAAGCAGAGUUCUCUUUCUUCUUAACAGUCUCUCACCCUGAAAUCGUUUGUCCGGAGCUAGGUUAAUGGCUGGAAGAGCCCGGCACCUCUGCCGGUUUGGUGCGCUCUCGACGUCCCUGAAAAUCCACGGAAGAAAUAAUUCUCACGCCAGUCGUACUCAUAACCGCAGCAGGUCUCCAAGGUGAACAGCCUCUGUGAUAGAACAAUGUAGAUAAGGAAGUCGCAAAAUAGAUCCGUAACUUCGGAAAAGAUGCUCUAAGGUGGCACGUGGGCCUGGGCGGACGUCCUGGAGCAGGCCGCCACUAGUCGGCAACCGACCGGAGGCGGCCAGCAUCCGUGCUGAUGCCCUUGCAGGCUCGCCGUCCGGCGUGCGGUAACAACCAACUUAGAACUGGUACGACAAGGAAUCUGACUGUCUAAUAAAACAUAGCAUUGCGAUGGCCAGAAAGUGUUGACGCAAUGUAUUCUGCCCAGUGCUCUGAAGUCAAAGUGAAGUAAUUCAACCAAGCGCGGGUAAACGGCGGAGUAACUAUACUCUCUAAGGUAGCCAAAUGCCUCGUCAUCUAAUUAGUGACGCGCAUGAAUGGAUAACGAGAUUCCCACUGUCCCUAUCUACUAUCUAGCGAAACCACAGCCAAGGAACGGCUUGCAGAAUCAGCGGGAAAGAAGACCCUGUGAGCUUGACUCUAGUUGACAUUGUGAAAAGACAUAGGAGUUAGAAUAGUGGAGCUUCGGCGCCGGUGAAAUACCACUACUCCUAUUGUUUUUUACUUAUCAAUGAACGGCGGAUUACGCCAACUUCUGGUUUAAGGUCUUCGCGGCCGACCCGGUUGAAGACAUUGUCAGUGGAGUUGCUGGGCGGCACAUCUGUUAAACCAUAACGCAGGUCCUAAGGGGGCUCAUGAGAACAGAAAUCUCCAUAGAACAAAAGGUAAAAGUCCCCUUGAUUGAUUUCAGUGUGAAUACAAACCAUGAAAGUGGCCUAUCGAUCCUUAGUCCUCGACAUUGAGGCUAGAGGUCCAGAAAAUUACCACAGGAUAACUGCUUGUGGCGGCCAAGCGUUCAUACGACGUCGCUUUUGAUCCUCGAUGUCGCUCUUCCUAUCAUACCGAAGCAGAAUUCGUAAGCGUUGGAUGUUCACCCACUAAUAGGAACGUGAGCUGGUUAGACCGUCGUGAGACAGUUAGUUUUACCCUACUGAUGACCUCACCGCAAUGGUAAUUCAGCUAGUACGAGAGGAACCGCUGAUUCAGAUAAUUGGUUUUUGCGGCUGUCCGACCGGGCAGUGCGCGAAGCUACAUCUGCUGGAUAAUGGCUGAACGCCUCUAAGUCAGAAUCCAUGCCAGAACGCGUGAUACCACCCGCACGUAUAGAUGGACAAGAAUAGCCUCGCUUAGCGUCUUAGCAGGCGAUUCCUCCACGCGCUCGAAGCGCGUCGGGUAUUUCGCGUAUUGU
rnacentral:rRNA from 1 species